rnacentral:misc_RNA from 1 species
GAGAUGCGAUAAGUAGUGUGAAUUGCAGAAUUCAGUGAAUCAUCGAAUCUUUGAACGCACAUUGCGCCCCUUGGUAUUCCAUGGGGCAUGCCUGUUCGAGCGUCAUUUGUACCUUCAAGCUUUGCUUGGUGUUGGGUGUUUGUCUCGCCUCUGCGUGUAGACUCGCCUCAAAACAAUUGGCAGCCGGCGUAUUGAUUUCGGAGCGCAGUACAUCUCGCGCUUUGCACUCAUAACGACGACGUCCAAAAGUACAUUUUUACACUCUUGACCUCGGAUCAGGUAGGGAUACCCGCUGAACUUAAGC